rnacentral:rRNA from 1 species
UACGUAGGGUGCGAGCGUUAAUCGGAAUUACUGGGCGUAAAGUGUGCGCAGGCGGCAGAGCAAGUCGAGUGUGAAAGCCCCCGGGCUUAACUUGGGAAUUGCGCUCGAAACUACUUUGCUGGAGUGUGGCAGAGGAAGGUGGAAUUCCACGUGUAGCGGUGAAAUGCGUAGAGAUGUGGAGGAACACCAAUGGCGAAGGCAGCCUUCUGGUCCAACACGUGACGCUCAUGCACGAAAGCGUGGGGAGCAAACAGG